AAGGUUCCCUUGUCAGAGAAUAAUUGGCCACAAACUGAGCAUGAAAACGGUUUCUCACCAGUGUGGAUUCUUGUAUGACUUUUUAAGUUUCCCCUAUGAGAGAAUUUCUGGCCACAAACAGAGCAUGAAAAAGGUUUCUCACCAGUGUGGAUUCUUGUGUGCAUUUUUAAAUGUUCCCUCCGUGAGAAUCUUUGGCCACAAUCUGAGCAUGAAAAAGGUUUCUCGCCAGUGUGGAUUUUUGUGUGCUUAUUUAAAUUUCCCCUCUGAGAGAAUUUU